rnacentral:lncRNA from 1 species
GCCAAAUGAAGUCUAAGAAUAAGCACAAAGAAAUCUACAACCAGAUACAUCAAGUAAAAGUAAUGGAAGACAAAGACAGAAACUCUCGAAUGUCACAAAGGGAAAGCAACACAUCAUUAAAAAAGAGAACCCUGGUAUGAUUAACAGCUUACUUAGCAUCAGAAACUAUGAAGCCCAGGGGCUUCCCUGGUGGUUCAGUGGUUAAGACUCUCCACUUCCAUGCUUCCACUGCAAAGAGGCAUGGGUUCAAUCUCUGGUCAGGGAAGUUCUGCAUGCUGUGAGGUGUGGCCAAAAAAAGAAUGAAACUAUGUAGCCCAGAAGGCAGUGGGAUGCCAUAUUAAAAUGCUGAAGGAAGAAAUUAUCACCAUGAACUUUUUCUUUCAAAAGUGAAAGUGAGAUAAACAGAUUCCCAUAUAAAGGAACACUGAGAGAACUGUUUGUUAGCAGACCUGUCUUUUGAGAAAUACUAAUGAGAGUUCUUCAGGCUGAAAGCAGUGGACCUUAGGCAGUGAUUUUAAUCCGUUCCAAAAAAGAGCAUGUGUUAAAAGAAUUCUGUAAUUCCAAAAUCUGAAUAUACCAGUCACUAGUACAGAGAUUGAAACAGUAAUUAAAAACCUCCCAAAAAACAAAAGUCCAGGAACAGACUGCUUCACAAGUGAAUUCUACCAAACAUUCAAAGAUUUAAUACCCAAUCCUUCUAAAACUAUUUGAAAAAAUUGAAGAGGAGGUAACACUUCCAAACUCAUUUUAUGAGGUCAACAUCACCUUGAUACCAAAACCAGAAAAAUACAACACACACACAGACACAGACAUACACACAAAGGAUAUUAUAGGCCAAUAUCUCUGAUGAAGAUGGAUGCAAAAAUCCUCAACAAAAUAUUGGCAAGCCAAAUUCAACAAUACAUCAAAGGGUCAUACAAGUGUGAUUUAUUCCAGGGAUGCAAGGAUGGUUCAACACCCACAAAUCAAUCAGUGUGAUACACCACAUUAACAAAGAAUAAAAACCACAUGAUCAUCUCAAUAGAUGCAGAAAGAACAUUUGACAAAAUUCAACAUCCAUUUAUUAUAAAACUUCUCAAUUAAGUGAGUAUAGAAUGGCCCUACCUCAACAUAAUAUAGGAUAAACCCACAGCUAAUGUCAUACUCAGUGGUGAAAAAUUAAGAGCUAUGCCUCUAAGGUCAAGAACAAUUCAAAGAUGCCACUCUCACCCCUCUUAUUCAACAUAGUGUUGGAAGUGCUGGCCAGAGCAAUUAGGCAAGAAAAAUAAAAGUCAUCCAGAUUGGAAAGGAAGAAGUAGAACUGUCUCUAUUUGCACAUGACAUGGUUUUGUGUAUACAAAGCCCUAAAGAUUCCACCAAAAAACUAUUGGAAAUAAUAAACAAAUACAGUAAAGGAUACAAAAUCAGUAUACAAAAAUCUGUUCCAUUUCUAUAUGCUAACAGUGGGCUAGCAGAAAAAGAUAUUAACAAAAACAAUCCCAUUUACAGUCUCAACAAAAGGCAGAAAAAGCCUAGGAAUCAGUUUAACCAAGAAGGUGAAAAGACUUAUACUGAAAACGAUAAGACAUUGUUAAAUUGAAGAAGAUACCAACAAUGGAAAGAUAUUCCAUCCUCAUGAAUUAGAAGAAUUAACAUUGUAAUAACUGUCCAUAUUACUUAAAGCAAUCCACAGAUUCAGUGCAAUCCCUAUCAAAAUCCCAAGGACAUUUUUCACAGACACAGAGCAAAAAAUUCUAAAAUUUCUAUGGAACCACAAAAGACUCCUCCAAAAUAGCCAAAGCAAUCCUGAGAAAAAAUAACAAAGCUGGAAGUAUCACACUCCCUGGUUUCAAACUAUAUUAGAAAGCCAUAGUAAUAUAAAGCAGCCUGGUGUUGGCAGAAAAACAGAUAUAAAGAUCAAUGAGGCAGAACUGAGAGCCCAGAAAUAAACCUAUGCAUAUAUAGACAAUUAAUUUAGGACAAAGGAAUAAAGAACCUACAAUGGAGAAAUGAUAGUCUCUUCAAUAAAUGAUAUUGUGAAUACUGGACAGCCACAUGGCAAAAAAAGUGAAACUAGACUACUGUCUCACACCAUACAG